rnacentral:rRNA from 1 species
AUGGGGCUGCCGCUGCUGGGCCCCUACCUGCAGUCCGUCGGCUCCGACUUCCGGCACGGCGCCAACUUCGCCACGCUCGCCUCCACGGCGCUGCUGCCCAACACGUCGCUCUUCGUCACCGACAUCAGCCCCUUCUCCCUCGCCAUCCAGCUCCGGCAGAUGAAGGAGCUCAGCAACAGAGCCAUCGCCGCCGGCGGCACCAGUGGCCAGCUUCCCCGGCCCGACGUUUUCGGCAACUCUCUGUACACGAUCGACAUUGGCCAGAAUGAUUUCACCUCCAACCUAGCGUCGCAGGGCGUCGAGAGUGUCAAGCAAACGCUUCCUUCGGUUAUCAGCCAGAUCUCGUUGGCUAUACAGGACCUGUACAGCAUCGGGGCUCGCAAAUUCAUGGUGUUUAACAUGGCGCCGAUCGGGUGCUACCCGGCUUUUCUAGUGGAGCUUCCACAUAGCAGCGAUGAUCUGGAUGAGUAUGGCUGCAUGACAAGUUACAAUAGCGCAGUUGUCUACUACAAUGAACUACUGAACAACAGCUUGGCCAAGGUUAGGAAGACGCUGCAGAAAGCGUCGAUCAUGUACGUCGACAAAUAUUCCGUCAUGCUCGAGCUGUUCAGGCAUCCAGAAGCUCAUGGGCUCAGGUAUGGGACCAAGGCUUGCUGCGGAUACGGUGGUGGAGCUUACAAUUUUGACCCAGAUCUAUACUGUGGCACCAGCAAGAUUGUGAAGGGCAACAUUGCGAGUGCGGCGGCCUGCGGAGACCCGCAGAACUACGUGAGCUGGGAUGGAAUCCAUGCCACUGAAGCUGCAAACAAUAUCGUAGCAUCUGCAGUGAUGAGUGGUUCAUACUCGUAUCCGCCUUCUGAUCUUUCAAAACUUUGCCAGCCAUGA